rnacentral:rRNA from 1 species
AAGAGACAGCAGCAGCCGCGGUAAUACGGAGGGUGCAAGCGUUAAUCGGAAUUACUGGGCGUAAAGCGCACGCAGGCGGUCUGACAAGUCAGAUGUGAAAUCCCCGGGCUUAACCUGGGAACUGCAUUUGAAACUGUCAGGCUGGAGUCUUGUAGAGGGGGGUGGAAUUCCAGGUGUAGCGGUGAAAUGCGUAGAGAUCUGGAGGAAUACCGGUGGCGAAGGCGGCCCCCUGGACAAAGACUGACGCUCAGGUGCGAAAGCGUGGGGAGCAAACAGGAUUAGAGACUCGUGUAGUCCCUGUCUCUUAUAC